CUUGGUGUGAAUUGCAGAAUCCCGUGAACCAUCGAGUUUUUGAACGCAAGUUGCGCCCGAAGCCUUCUGGCCAGGGCACGUCUGCCUGGGCGUCACGC
rnacentral:rRNA from 5 species